AACGAACGCUGGCGGCAGGCCUAACACAUGCAAGUCGAACGAAGUCUUCGGACUUAGUGGCGCACGGGUGGGUAACACGUGGGAAUAUACCUUACGCUGGGGGAUAACAUCGGGAAACUGAUGCUAAUACCGCAUACGCCCUUCGGGGGAAAGAUUUAUCGGCGAAAGAUUAGCCCGCGUCCGAUUAGCUAGUUGGUGAGGUAAUGGCUCACCAAGGCUCCGAUCGGUAGCUGGUCUGAGAGGAUGACCAGCCACACUGGGACUGAGACACGGCCCAGACUCCUACGGGAGGCAGCAGUGGGGAAUAUUGGACAAUGGGCGCAAGCCUGAUCCAGCCAUGCCGCGUGAGUGAUGAAGGCCUUAGGGUUGUAAAGCUCUUUCACCCACGACGAUGAUGACGGUAGUGGGAGAAGAAGCCCCGGCUAACUUCGUG
rnacentral:rRNA from 1 species